AAGUCAGGAUCGGAAACGGAACCAACAACAAUCUACAGCAGUGCCACUCCGGUAUUGUCCUGGGCCUGUCGAUAUAUGCCAAAGAGGGAAGACGUCGAGCAAUGGUCAACUGUCCUCGUGUCGACCAGCCGUAGACUCCAGCGCUGUUGGACAGCAAUCCUACCAGUAGGACCCGCUCGCCUCUCUCUCGCCACCGUCGAACGACCAGCCGGAAUCGUCAGCAAAUAACUAUAGAUCUACCUAAUGUAAACCCGCCAUAAGAAUCGAUUAGACUGGAAGAAAAGCUUUCGACCGUGUAACGGAGAUGGACACUUAGGCCAUCUACACACUAGGCAACCUAAGUUGGAAAGCAACUUAACGAAUCUGUCAAAAAAGUUGAGAACAUGUGUAAUCAAAUGGGAGCAUACACACUAGGCAACUGGCAACUUUGGUCGGACCAACUUUUUCGAUUCAACUCAGCAUGUCGAGUCGCGCGCGAUUUGUGUCGGCAACCUUUUCGUUCAAUUGCUGUUGACGUUUUGAUUUCUGCGUGCAUUGAAUUUCAAUAUCUGUCAGUGGUGAUGCAAAACAGUGUUUACAAUAUUGGCGCAUCUGUUUCUAUGAACGAACGAGAUGAAAUGCCAUCAAUAUGCAAGUUCUCUUGAUAUACCGUCCGGGAAGAGUGCUGAAUUGGUCAAGGAUGCGUAUAAUAUUGGAGAUUGAGCAAGAAGCACAGAAUCCGCUGGAUGUGUUUUUUCCAAGUUAACAGCAAUUGUUGCUGUCUGUUGUUAUCAGCGAGCCGAAAUAAGUAUGUUAGAUAGCCUAAGAUUGGAUAAUUCUGGUCAGAUUUCCCGGGAAACCGUUAUCAUCCCUGAUUCUCGAUUGUACCAUGUGCGAAGGUGCGGUCUGCGAAUAUGUGACCCCUGGGAGAAUUUUUCAUAUUUAGCGUUAGUGUAUACAUAAAUCAUUCUUUAGAAGAAUUGUUGAAAAUUUUUCUGUUUUCUUUAUAUAAUUCUAUUCGGCUGUAUUCUUAUUUCAAUGAUUUUUUUUAUGUUUGUAAAUAUUGUUUGCUGGUUUG